rnacentral:rRNA from 1 species
AUUGAACGCUGGCGGCAGGCCUAACACAUGCAAGUCGAGCGGAUUAAGGGAGCUUGCUCCUGGAUUCAGCGGCGGACGGGUGAGUAAUGCCUAGGAAUCUGCCUGGUAUUGGGGGAUAACGUCCUGAAACGGGCGCUACUACCGCCUCCUUCCUUAGGGCGCAAGUGGGGGUUCUUCGGACCUCACGCUUUCAGCUGACCCUAGGUCGUAUUCGCUAGUUGGUGGGGUAAAGGCCUACCAAGGCGACGAUCCGUAACUGGUCUGAGAGGAUGAUCAGUCACACUGGAACUGAGACACGGUCAAGACUCCUACGGGAGGCAAAAGUGGGGAAUAUUGGACAAUGGGCGAAAGCCUGAUCCAGACAUGCCGCGUGUGUGAAGAAGGUCUUCGGAUUGUAAAGCACUUUAAGUGGGGAGGAAGGGCAGUAAGUUAAUACCUUGCUGUUUUGACGGUACCAACAGAAUAAGCAACGGCUAACUUCGUG